ensembl:lncRNA LINC01649 long intergenic non-protein coding RNA 1649
AGGGUUUGAAAUGUGGGGGAAAAAAAAAGAGAAUCACUGCUUAUCUUAGUCUGUUCGGGUAGCUGUAACAAAAUACCAUACCUGAGUGACUUACAAGUAAUAGAAAUGUUAUUUCUCACAUUUCUGGAGUCUGGGAAGCCCAAGAUCAAGGUGCUAGCAGAUUUGGUGUCUGGUAUCUACUGACCUGGUUAUCGCUUCUUCCUUUAAGGAGUAUUAGAACACUGCUGGGGAUGGGCUGACAAACAUACCAGGUAUUGAUGCAUACAGUCCCCUGAAAGGUCUCAUCUGAUUAGGGACAUUUAUUCUGAGAACCAGGUCUCAGAAUUCUCUUUUGGAUGCAUCAAAGUCCAACCGAUUCUGAGAGCCAACUUGGGAUUUUACUUUGUGUCAGCCAAGAGGCUUUCCUUACCUCCUUGUCUUCAGUACUCUUGUGCACAAGCAUGCUUCUCAGAGAAGGUGGAUUCUACCUUGGAAGGAAAUGAGUCGUUUCCUCCCAUCAGGACAACUGCCACAGCAUGGUGUCAACUCACUCUUGCCUUUCGUAAAUUGAGUUUGUCAGUGCUCAGCGACACAGCUGAGUGAAAUGUUGUGUGAUGCGGGCUGUCUCCUGGGAGAGAGAAACUGGCAUAAACCACAUCCUAAUGGGAUCCAGAAACAAAGAAGCGUGAAUGAAGUGUUAAUUGCAUUCAUAAAGACAUUAACAAAGGAAUUAAAAUGGCAGAAGCUUCAGUCCCCCACUCAAGAUUCACAGAAAAAUAUGUUAUCCAAAGAAUGUUUCAACAAUAAUCAUCAAAGUUUAUUGCUUGCCCAUUGGGGAAAUAACUCUUGAUACAUAUUAACUUUUCAAAGAACAUUUUGGGUCCAUUAUUUUGAGUAUAUUAACUAACAGACAGUUUAUUCCACCCUACCUCCAGUUCUUUGCUUGCUUUUGUAUGAUUUAAGUUUCAAAAAAAUCCAGAGGCAUUUUCAGUGCUGCUUCAUUAACCAUAAGGAUGUCUGUUAACAGUUUGAACCUAAUCAAUCCUACAGUUCUUAUUAGAGCAAAAUGCUCAUUAUCUGGGAGAAUUUUUGCUUUUUGAAAUAAAAUUACAAGACUGGGGGUUUAUUUUACAGUCCCUCUUGAAUAUUCCUGAGAUGAUCUGCAAUGUGGGCAACCCGGGGCUCCCUCCCCAGCCCUGUGGCAGGGCCCCCCAGCUGCUGACAGCGGGGCUAAGCUGGCAAAAGGUCAGGAGGCUGCAUUUCACUGAAGAUGGAUCGCACAGAUGAAUAUUGCGCUUGCUUAAUGAAGUCAAGGCCACGGAUUUGGGGCCUUUUAUGGUUCUUCUUGUUUCACUCAAUUUCACCUUCAUAGACCACGCCACUAAUCCCAGCCAAUCAUUUUGUAGAUAUGUGCAACUGGUGACUAAGGGACUAGAUAAAAGUAAAUGAAUCUAAAAAACAGUGACCAGAAAUUCAGAAAUCUCUGUGCCUAUAACAAACUCAGAAUUAAAAAAAAAAAGCAUGCAGAGUGAGUGUUUCGUGAUCCUUGCAGAAACUCUGUGAGAUAUAUGGAGCCGACAUUCCUACCUUCAUUCUGCAGAUAUUUUUCAGACCCUGCAUCCUGAUGAACCAACUGGCACCACCCAGACUGGUAAACUGGCCCAACUUGUUCUGCCAUCCCACCCAGAAACUGAAGACAGCAAGAAGAACCUGCUUCAACCCCCUAUGAUUUCAGCCCCAACCCAACCAAAGCAUUCCCCCACUCCCUAGCCCCAUGACCACCAAAUUACGCUUAAAAAACCCUAGUCUUCAAAUUUUUGGGGAGACCAAUUUAAGUAAUAAAAUUCUGGUCUUCUGUUUA